CUGAGCAAACAGCUAAACUCAGACGGAUCAGGAGUUGCUUCGAUGUUUUCUUUCCUGACAGGCACACAUGCUUUUACAUAAAAAUCCUUCCAGAUUAAAGUGAAGUGUUAUGAAGUUUAGUACCUGCACUUAAAUCUUAAGUAAUCGAAAGACAAAAUAGUUAAGUCAAGCACUAUCCCUCCUGUUUAUACUUCACCUUUGUUCCAGAGUUUUUCAUAAGUUUUCAAAAUAAAACUCAGAGUUCCCAGCAAUGAUUCUCUCAAGUCUCUCUAUAUGUGGUAUUUGUGGAUCCUUACCAUAAUGUCACUUACCUAUAGCUAAUGGAAUAAUUAAGUGGAGCUCAUAGGAGUGCAAACAGCUCAUACAUAUGUUGUCUAAUCGAGCCAUGGAUCCAAAGGAACUCAACAUAUAAUUAAAUCAAGAUGUGCAUGUGUGGUGGAGUAAAUGAUAGUGAUGGUGAAAAUGCAUAAGUGAUAAUAAAACUUAGUUCUCAUUGCUCCUCAUAUUGCUAUCUCUCCUCCUCUUUGAUCUUUGCUUUGGGAGAACAUGGGCUAUCUUUUUUUUCAGGUGGGUAAUAGAUACCCCUAAUUCUAUUGUCGGACACUUGUCCAUUUUUUCCGCUCAAGUGGGCAUCUUUGUACCCCUAAUUCUACUUCAGACACUUGUCCAUUUUUACCUCUCGUCUCACUCUUUUUCUUUCUUUUUCGAGGUUCCCGGGCACUUGCCCCUUUUUAUUUCCUCGUAUAUAUUUUUGCAUAACCCAUGCCUCUUCUACAUUGAAUCUUUUUAGAGAGAGAGUAUAACAAUAUUCGGGACAGUGAGUGAUAAUAUUUUUAGCAAUU
rnacentral:lncRNA from 1 species